AUUGAACGCUGGCGGCAGGCCUAAAACAUGCAAGUCGAGCGGAGCGGCGGACGGGUGAGUAAUGCCUAGGAAUCUGACUGGUAGUGGGGGAUAACGUCAGGAAACGGGCGCUAAUACCGCAUACUAUCAGAUGAGCCUCGGUGGGAUUAGCUAGUUGGUGGGGUAAAGGCCUACCAAGGCGUCGAUCCGUAACUUGUCUGAGAGGAUGAUCAGGCACACGGGAACUGAGACACUGUCCAGACUCCUACUGGCGGCAGCAGUGGGGAAUAUUGGUCAAUGUGCGAAAGCCUUAUCCAGUCAUGCCGCGUGUGUGAAGAAGGUCUUAGGUUUUGAAAGCACUUUAAGUUUGUAUGCGUUACCAACAGAAUAAGCACCGGCUAACUUCGUGCCAGCAGCCGCGGUAAUUC
rnacentral:rRNA from 1 species